UUGUAUAUUGGUAUGACGUUGGCGUCGUCAUCCGAAGACACAUUGGUUUUCGCACUCUAACUUUAGUUUAAGUGAAUAGAUCUCCAUGAAAUUUUACCAUAAGGUUCAAUACCACAAAAGGAGGGUUGGGAUUGAUUUUGGGGGUUAUGGUACAUGUACCAACAGUUAAGGAAUAAGGGGCCAAAAAGGGGCCAAAAAUAAGCAUUUUUGUAACUUCCAGACAAUAACUUGUGUGUAAGUGUAUGGAUCUCUCUGACAUUGUACCACAAGGUUCCAUAUCACAUAGGGAAGGCUGUAAUUGAUUUUGGGGGUAAUUGCCUCAAAAUUUUAGGAAUUAGGGGCCAAAAAAAGGGCAAAAAACAAGCAUUUUUCUAGUUUCAUGACAAUAACUUGUGUGUAAGUGUUUGGAUAUUUCUGAAAUUGUACUACAAGGUUCCAUAUCACAUAGGGAAGGCUGUAAUUGAUUUUGGGGGUAAUUGCCUCAAAAUUUUAGGAAUUAGGGGCCAAAAAAAGGGCAAAAAACAAGCAUUUUUCUAGUUUCAUGACAAUAACUUGUGUGUAAGUGUUUGGAUAUUUCUGAAAUUGUACUACAAGGUUCCAUAUCACAAAGGGAAAGCUGUAAUUGAGUUUGGGGGUAAUUCCCCGAAACGUUUAGGAAUAAGGGGCCAAAAAUAAGCAUUUUUGUAACUUCCAGACAAUAACUUGUGUUCAAGUGUAUGGAUCUCUCUGAAAUUGUACUGCAAGGUUCCAUAUCACAAAGGGAAAGCUGGAAUUGAGUUUGGGGUAAUUACCCGAAACGUUUAGGAAAAAGGGGCCAAAAAAUAAGCAUUUUUGUAACUUCCAGACAUAACUUGUGUGUUAGAGUUUGGAUCUCUCUGACAUUGUACCACAAGGUUCCAUAUCACAAAGGGAAUGCUUGGAUUGAUUUUGGGGGUGAUUGCCUCAAAAUUUAAGGAAUUAGGGGCCAAAAAAGGAGCAAAAAACAAGUAUUUUUCUAGUUUCAUGACAAUAACUUGUGUGUUAGUCUAUGGAUCUUUCUGAAAUUGUACUACAAGGUUCCAUAUCACAAAGGAAAAGCUGGAAUUGAGUUUGGGGGUAAUUGCCUGAAACAUUUAGGAAUAAGUGGCCAAAAAGGGGCCAAAAAUAAGCAUUUUUCUAGUUUCCAGACAAUAACUUGUGUUCAAGUGUAUGGAUCUCUCUGAAAUUGUACAACAAGGUACCAUACCACAAAGGGAAGGCUGGGAAUGAUUUUGGGGGUAAUUGCCUCAAAAUUUUAAGAAUUAGGGGCCAAAAAGGAGCAAAAAAACAAGCAUUUUUCUAGUUUCAGGACAAUAACUUGUGUGUAAGUCAAUGGAUCUUUCUGAAAUUGUACUACAAGGUUCCAUAUCACAAAGGGAAAGCUGGAAUUGAGUUUGGGGGUAAUUGCCCGAAACGUUUAGGAAUAAGGGGCCAAAAA